CUUGGACGACCCAACCAACGGCAUUCGUUUAAAAGAGGGACCGUUUUGGGCGGGUCUUUCGGGCAUCGUCGUUUCGUUAGCCUCGGCUCGUUUCGGAUGCUUGGCAGUUGGCAGUCGGGAGGAAGCAAGAAGCAAAGUACCAAGGGUAUCUCGUCACGUCUCAUUGUCAGUUCCCUCUCGAUCGUAGCCAAGUACGCGGCCCGUUAAACGAGGCUUCAGCGAGGACAAAGGGACUUUGAAGCGAAACAGUGAGACAAAAGCGGCUGGACCCAGAGCGCGUCGGAGGUUCUUCUAUCGACACGGGGGCGAAAGUAGCAGCCAUGGGCACGCCGUUGUUCGAUUCCCUCGUUAAUUGCAUCAUCCUCGCGGUCGGUCUUCGUGGGAUUUUUGCCGUGCCAGCUAAAAUCGACGAUCAAUUCCGCUCUUCGACGGACGCCACCCCGAUACGCGAACACGUCGCAAGCGAGGCCAAGUGCCCGUGCAACGGAAAUGCUUCGGCUACGUUAGACUGGCCCGCUCGCGAUCAUCAAUGGGACCAGCUUCGCACGCGAAACGUGAUGGUGCACGGUAUGGUUUGCUCGUGCAAUCUCGGGAUGCGGGCCGCGCUGGCACGCGACGAUUACCGUCACACGCCUGGCAUCGGCUCGCACAAAUUACACACCAGAGCUGCGACAUGGAACGUCGCACGGAAGCUUUGCAUCGAGGAGGGCGGUCACCUGGCCAUCGUCAAUUCUUUCGCAGAGGCGCACAUAUUAAUGGAUAUAUUUAAUCGAUCGGGCCCGGUGAAGGGUGCCGUGUACCCGGACGAAGCCUUUCUGGGUGUACACGAUCUCUUUUCGGAGGGCGAUUGGGUCACAGUGCUGGGCGACUCGUUGGCGAAAACUGGUUACACCGCGUGGAGCGACAAGUGGGGUGGACAGCCGGAUAAUGGGGGCGGACGGCAAAAUUGCGGCGCCUUCAUGAAGGAAGGUGGGAUGGACGACGUAGCGUGCGACGUGCCCUUCCCGUUCUUCUGCGAGCAACCGACGAUGCAGCUCCUCUAACGGCUGUUAAUUUCCUCUUUCGAGCGAUCACGACCGCCCGAGAUCCUCCCCGAAGAUCGUCCCCGCUGGCGUGAGAUUGCGUCGCGUCGCGUCGCGUCGCGUCGCGUCGGCCCGCUCCGAGACGCCUGUCGCUUACCGAACCGACUUUAACGGAUUCGAUACUUAUCGGAUCUUGGCAACGGUUCGCUGUUCGAAAGCUGUACAUGCCGUGGACGGACGUAUUCGACGAGGCGUUCCUGAAGAAGACUAUCGUGAUGUUUCGAAUGCUGGACGACGAGUGGACGUCGCUGGUGCCUAACCGGCGCGAUUACCGCUCGUAUCGGGGCUCGAAUUACCAAACCGAGCCUUUCUACGGCGGCAAAUCGGUGCUCUUUGCCGUGCCGGAAACCCUCUUCGAGGAGGACGUGUCCGGAGUGGACGUGCAGCUCUACGUCUACAAACAGGUGUCCAAGUUCUUCGAGCUCGAGCGCCAGCAGAAUUACGGAUUCACCCUCGUCAAGGUGGACGAUCUGCUUAACAGCAUUAUCAAGGACCUUCGCGAACGAAAGGAGCUGGAAGGUUAUUUUUCCCGGGAGCUGGAGCGGGAACCUAUAUCAAGGUGAAUGCAUUUAAAUACGCGAAGCUGGCGUUUAUGCAAAUACGUUAGCGUAACGGAUUACCUGACCGGGAACGUUACCAGCUCAGCUUAAUGUAAUUUAAAAAACCACCGUACCGUGUACCCUCCCGCCUAUCUGGAUUCGUUCGGAACGUUUUGUUCGUUUGUAUUGGGAGCCCGAGGCAUGUCUGACCCGUAUCCGCGGAAAUCCUCGUUUCUCUCGAAAGCUUGCUCACGUGUUUCGAUGUAUCGUGGCAUCGAUUGAUAUUAAUACGUCCUGUUUUGUCGGCCAUGUAGGACGGACUCUGCACUAAAAGGGA